ACAGUCCGGGCCGUAACAGGUUUUGUCCACCCACGGUGGCAAAUUAAACGGGAAACCGGUGCGCACUCAGCAAGGCCGGUACUGCCCCCGCAACGGUAAGUGAACCAGUGUUUAACACACCGCUUCACAAGUCCGAAUACCUGCCUGCUACAGCCGAUGGCG
rnacentral:ncRNA from 2 species